rnacentral:rRNA from 1 species
GAUGAACGCUAGCCACAGGCUUAACACAUGCAAGUCGCGGGGCAGCAUGGGGGUUGCUUGCAAUCCCCGAUGGCGACCGGCGCACGGGUGAGUAACGCGUAUCCAACCUGCCCUUCACCACGGGAUAACCCGGCGAAAGUCGGACUAAUACCGUAUGUUGUCCAUUGACGGCAUCCGAUUUGGACGAAAGGUUUGGCGGUGAAGGAUGGGGAUGCGUCCGAUUAGCUGGACGGCGGGGUGACGGCCCACCGUGGCGACGAUCGGUAGGGGUUCUGAGAGGAAGGUCCCCCACACUGGAACUGAGACACGGUCCAGACUCCUACGGGAGGCAGCAGUGAGGAAUAUUGGUCAAUGGGCGUAAGCCUGAACCAGCCAAGUAGCGUGCAGGAUGACGGCCCUAUGGGUUGUAAACUGCUUUUAUGCGGGGAUAAAGUGGCCCACGUGUGGGUUUUUGCAGGUACCGCAUGAAUAAGGACCGGCUAAUUCCGUG